rnacentral:lncRNA from 1 species
CAAGAGCCCUGUCCAAGUGCCGACUCUGCUGCAGUCCUGACAUCCUGUGCUGUGUAACCAAGACUCUUGCAUGCUUUGCAUUUUGCACAGCUGCCUGAAGUCAAGGUCUGGCUCCUUCUACAACCUGUGGAAAACACUUGGCAUAUUUUGUGUUGAACGUUCAUGCUGCUCUCAAAGCUUUACACAGCAGAGGGACAUGGAGUUUUGUGAAGAAAAAGCUGGCUGUCAUGCUGCAAACUCCACCAGAAAGGCUUUGGACAAGCAAACACUGACUGAGAAAAGGACUCCAACAUUAACACUUUCUGUGUCAGCACUUCUGGAGAGAGGACAAAAAGACAAACAGACUUCUUCAGAUAUAAUGAAGAAAACAGGAAAAUCUGUGUCAAUGUCUGCUGUGAAAAAUUCUCCAGGAAAGUUUGGAGCUCCUCAGGGCCCCAGUGUAGGCUGCAGAGAAUACCAGUUUUGGUGUUGAAUGUUCAUUGAUUUGGAACAGCCCCAUCCCAA